CCUACGGGUGGCAGCAGUGGGGAAUAUUGGACAAUGGGGGCAACCCUGAUCCAGCCAUGCCGCGUGUGUGAAGAAGGCCCUCGGGUUGUAAAGCACUUUCAGUGAGGAAGAACGCCUGGUGGUUAAUACCCAUCAGGAAAGACAUCACUCACAGAAGAAGCACCGGCUAACUCCGUGCCAGCAGCCGCGGUAAUACGGAGGGUGCGAGCGUUAAUCGGAAUUACUGGGCGUGAAGCGCGCGUAGGUGGCUUGAUAAGCCGGUUGUGAAAGCCCCGGGCUCAACCUGGGAACGGCAUCCGGAACUGUCAAGCUAGAGUGCAGGAGAGGAAGGUAGAAUUCCCGGUGUAGCGGUGAAAUGCGUAGAGAUCGGGAGGAAUACCAGUGGCGAAGGCGGCCUUCUGGACUGACACUGACACUGAGGUGCGAAAGCGUGGGUAGCAAACAGGAUUAGAUACCCCUGUAGUC
rnacentral:rRNA from 1 species